UGUUCUAUACAUCCAUGUAAGAGAAAUUUCAGCAGUCUGAAUGUUUUACUAUUAUCAUCAUUAUUAUUUUGAAUGGAGUUUAGAUCAUAAAUCAAUCUUUCGAACUUAGUUGAUAUGGGAAAUUCAAAGGGAGCUCUACCAACUUGAAUUUUUGUGUGCAUUGCUGCAUUGCUCUUAAGACUAGUUAACUACUUUAUUCUAAAUGGUCAA
rnacentral:misc_RNA from 1 species